CACAUCUCAAUCUCCUCUACACAACCCAUUGGCACUUUGUCGAGCGAGCCUAUCGCCGCCUUUCCUCUUCCCCCGCUUCUACAUGUCUCCUCUCCUCUAUCAUUUUCCUGUCGUGGACUUGAAGAAGGUUCAUCGUGCUGCAAUCGAUCUGGAAGAAAAUGACCCAUAUCCUCCCCGAUCUGGAAGGUUCAUCGUCGUCAACAGUCAAGGAAGCACGGAUCUCACGGUAGCUGCGUAAUUAGGGAGUAAAGGAGGAUAAGCUUGGAUGGUCUACAUCAAAUUCAAUGGUACACUGCACCCGACGUGUGUUCUCUACGUCUUCAAAUCAUCCAACGGCUAACCAGUUCACUUUGAAGUUGAUAGGAAGCUUUGCAAAAUAUUAUUACUCUGGAGAAGAUAUAGAUGUUGUCCAAAUAUCAGAUUAUCUGCAUGGUAAAACUAAUAGCUCUUUCUUCCGGUAUUAAGACAAGGUAUGAUGCCUGGACCAUGAAUAUUUUUCCAUAUAUAUUCAUUUGACCUAUAAGAUGGACCAACUUCCGAGAUUUCUCUCAAUUCAGGCUGUUAAACUGUACAUUUUUGGCAGAUUUGUACUAAGAAUUUAACAUUGUUGCUCAUGCACAAUUUCCUGUGGUAACUAUGGAAUCCAUAUUUCCUUGGUCUGUUUUAAUAAUAUGUAUGAUAUUUCCUUUGUAGUUCCAUAAUUAAGAUUUUACAGUUGUGACGUAUAAAAAAUAUGAUACGUUAGACAUUUUCAACCAGGAAUACCAGAGAGCCCCUUUGGCGAUUCUAAUAUUUAUGGCAAUGGGGUUGUGUAAUUGAUAAUGAUCCAGAUUAGUAUCAGCUAAAUCUGCUUUCACGAAAUUAGUGGAUCUAUGUGUUCCAUUUUACGCAGCAAAAUAGUGUAUACGCAUGCCACUAAAUCUAUUUCAUCAUCGAACAAUACUCUACAAAAGCUCCCAAUAAAUUUUUGUGCGCAAACUUACAACUAAUCUAAUAUUUCUGUAUAGAUCGCAAAUAGGAAUUAUAGUCUUUAUCUUGAACUAAUAAAUGAUUUUAGUUACCACCAAGUCAUGUAUGGUCACAUUAUUGAUCAAACUGAAACUGAUUCUCCUUUGUACCUCAUCCAGUGGCUACAAAAAGUACAAAUAGAGCACUGCAAAUCAGAGGGAGUGAUAUCUUCCCUCAAACUUUUCAAUUUUGUCAUUCACCACUUUUGUCCCAACUAAACAGACAACUCAGUCAGUCUAAAUCCUUUGCUUCAUUUUCCAACAAUUCGGCUUUACCUGUAAUGUUUCAUCUAUAAAAGGUCAUGAGCAGAUGUUUCGUGUUGUUCCCUGGACAUGAGUUCUGAAAAGCUUGAUUUCCAUUUUUUGGAUUUCACAGCCUGGACAAAGCAAUGAUUUUCCAAAUUGGUUUUAAGUUGUGUUCUUUCAAUGAAAUUGAGUAAGCAACGGAAAGUUGAUCAAUCAGAUUAUUAGGGUGCGCCUUACGCUUCAGUAGGAAUGAUUGGUUAUAUUGUGUCAAUCUUGCAGUACAGAUGGCGUUGUGGUGGACGAAGGGGUGAGAAUUGAUGGGACUUAAUGGUCAGUUAUUGUACUAAUUUUUGAACGGAAUUUCUAGAAAGUGAACCUUUCCCCUCAGCCUUCCUAGUGUGACACAGUAUUUACCAUCUGAUUUUGGCUUGCAUCCGCGUGCACAUCGUCACAAUUGAUGUGUGACAUUAGUACAACAACCUGAAAACGCCCUGUAGUGCGGUGUCCACUUUUGAAAUCUCGAUUUUCCCCAUGGGUUUGUUUCAUGUUAUUAAGUAAUAUCUCUCUCUUCUCAUUAAAAAAACAUAUUCAAGCCAUGUUUGAUGAGCACGAUGAGAAUUUUAAAGGUGUACUACAGUUGGAGCAAAUUUAUUGGUUCCUGCAAGCAGAACGGCUUACCUUUUUCUGUUUUAUGGGAAUUACUACCCCCCUCAACCAUCUCAUGUAAAAAGUACACAAAUAUGCAUUGGUAGAUACCAGUUUGAAAUGUGCAGAUCAAAUCACACUUCAAGUUAAGCUGUACAUGUGAUUUUCGUAUCUCCCUACUAAGAUAUGCAUCUGAACCUUUACUGAUAUUUUGAUAGUACAAUGACAAUUGGUCUCCUGUGAAGCAAAUAAGUUAUUUUCUUAUGGCACGUCAUGUCUUCAGCAAAUAUAUCAGAUAUAGAUUCGGUGUAAGUUAACCUUUUUGUAGUAUAAUAUUUUAUAUGAAUGGUUGGAUUUUCCUGGAGUUGCUAUAGAAUACUGUAAAGAUAACUUGAUGUUACUAUAGGGUGCACUAGGCCAGUAGCAAAGUUGUUCGUUUGUAACUACUUACUUGUAUGUUAGUCUUAAUAUUUAGUUUUUCUUAUCUUGCGCCAAAUUAGCCAAUUCUUUCUUAACUAUCAAAUCACUUCUAAAUUGUAGUAAUCGAUUCUUAGUUCUCAACUUCUCCAAUUUUCCAAUCCAUCAUCCCCAUACGUUUUAGAACUAUGCAAAGCUUUUCACGAGUGUCCUUGCUAAUUACCAAAUUAUAUUUGCCAGUUUUCAAAUCUACAUGAUGGGAUCGUGUAGUCCUAUAGUAGUUCAGUUUUUCAUAGCAGUAUCAAACGUACUUUAUAUUUUUCCUGUAAAUUACUCCCGUCCUUGCUUCCACAUUUUGUAACCAUGUGAAACCGUCAUUCUAGGAGCUAUUGAUUUGCAUAUAAUCCCAUGGACCGGGCUCAAGAUUUGUCUUGCGCACAAAGCUACUCUAUUUGUGCAACUAUUAUCUAAAGUAGGUACUGAAAUAUGUUGUGCAUUCAAGAUCAACCUUUAUCUUCAGGCCUGUAACAUAAUCUAUAUUGCUCAGUUUAUUCAAGUUUGCAUUACAGUUUCUGUAUGACCAGACAACUAGAUGGUGGCUACAAUUACACGAACGUCGCACAUAUAAUUUUUUCCAUGCUAAGGAAACCUCAAAAUCUUCAGUUUUA